UACGUAGGGGGCAAGCGUUGUCCGGAAUCAUUGGGCGUAAAGAGCGUGUAGGCGGCCACUUAAGUCCUGCGUGAAAUCCUGCGGCUCAACCGCAGGCGGUCGUGGGAAACUGGUUGGCUAGAGUGCGGGAGAGGAGAGUGGAAUUCCUGGUGUAGCGGUGAAAUGCGCAGAUAUCAGGAAGAACACCCGUGGCGAAGGCGGCUCUCUGGAACGCAACUGACGCUGAGACGCGAAAGCGUGGGGAGCAAACAGG
rnacentral:rRNA from 1 species